UACGUAGGGUGCAAGCGUUACUCGGAAUUACUGGGCGUAAAGCGUGCGUAGGUGGUUUGUUAAGUCUGAUGUGAAAGCCCUGGGCUCAACCUGGGAAUUGCAUUGGAUACUGGCAGGCUAGAGUGCGGUAGAGGGUAGUGGAAUUCCCGGUGUAGCAGUGAAAUGCGUAGAGAUCGGGAGGAACACCAGUGGCGAAGGCGACUACCUGGACCAGCACUGACACUGAGGCACGAAAGCGUGGGGAGCAAACAGG
rnacentral:rRNA from 1 species